UGGGGAAUAUUGGACAAUGGGCGAAAGCCUGAUCCAGCAAUGCCGCGUGAGUGAUGAAGGCCUUAGGGUUGUAAAGCUCUUUUACCAGGGAUGAUAAUGACAGUACCUGGAGAAUAAGCUCCGGCUAACUCCGUGCCAGCAGCCGCGGUAAUACGGAGGGAGCUAGCGUUGUUCGGAAUUACUGGGCGUAAAGCGUACGUAGGCGGUGACUCAAGUCAGAGGUGAAAGCCUGGAGCUCAACUCCAGAACUGCCUUUGAAACUAGGUCGCUAGAAUCACGGAGAGGUGAGUGGAAUUCCGAGUGUAGAGGUGAAAUUCGUAGAUAUUGGGAAGAACACCAGUGGCGAAGGCGGCUAACUGGUCCGGUACUGACGCUGAGGUGCGAAAGCGUGGGGAGCAAACAGGAUUAGAUACCCGAGUAUCCCUGAGCGGGCUGGCAAGGCGCAU
rnacentral:rRNA from 1 species